AGCGAACGCUGGCGGCAGGCCUAAUACAUGCAAGUCGAGCGCACCUUCGGGUGAGCGGCGGACGGGUGAGUAACGCGUGGGAACGUGCCCUUUGGUACGGAACAACUGAGGGAAACUUCAGCUAAUACCGUAUGUGCCCUUACGGGGGAAAGGAUUUAUCGCCAUUGGAGCGGCCCGCGUUGAUUAGGUAGUUGGUGAGGUAAAGGCUCACCAAGCCUACGAUCCAUAGCUGGUCUGAGAGGAUGAUCAGCCACACUGGGACUGAGACACGGCCCAGACUCCUACGGGAGGCAGCAGUAGGGAAUCUUGCGCAAUGGGCGAAAGCCUGACGCAGCCAUGCCGCGUGAAU
rnacentral:rRNA from 1 species